AGGAGAAGAUUGUGUUCAGAAAUCCAAAGAAAGUAGACACAAUUUGGAUUCAGGAUUGGGAUAUCUCAUUGCAACCACUAACAGGAACUGAUGCAAGCUCCGGUGGAGGAACUCGCAAUAUGGAUAGAGAAAAGGCGCCCCCAGUGAUGAUGUUUCAGAUGCCAGAGAUUCAACCAACUCCAGCCAUUGACUGUUCACUUCCUGCAGUGUUUUCAGUGAGCAAUCCGGAAGAGAUGAGUUACAUCAGGAGAGCACAUCAUACUGGAAGGUAAUUUUGCUGCCAUAUUUUUAAUUCUUUUCAUAAUAUAAGUAUUAUAUCAAACUGCAUGCAUAGUAUUAUUCUCAUGGACUCGAACCUGAAAUCCAUCACAUGAAUGAUCUAAUAAUUAUGUUACGAAAAUUAUCAUUUAACACUAAAGGUCAUCCAAUCCAAUCUCAAAUUAUUAAGAUACCUAAAUCAUUUGGUACAGAAGCUUUUUAUUCAGCCAUCUUAUCUGCAUGAUCAGUUCUUCUCUUUAGCAUUGCUCUGACAAAUAUUUCGUGCAUUAAAUCAUAGUUUUAUUUCCACGAUCCAAGUUCACAUCAGUUUUAUCUCAGCAUCAUCGGCUAAUAAAACAAAUACAUCAUGACAUGUAUCUCUAUCUGGUAGGUUCAUUCAUUCACCAAUAUAAGAAUAUAAAUAAAAUAAAAUAAAAGAUUUGAUGUUAUCAUCGGAUUCCUGACAAGACAUCAUGGGCCUCGGAUGACAUAAGUGGAAAUAGAUCAUCAUCAAUGUGACCCUCGGCCAUGGGAAAACCUAGUAAUCACACACACGAGCAAGGGAAGGGGAAAGACGAAGCAUCAAGAUUCGUUCUUACGAGGGAGGACAUGAGAGAUGAUGCCAAGUGGGAAAAGCGACCCAAAUCUGGUGCCCAUCCCUCGGACAGCGACUGGUGCCUCAUCUCACUCGGAUUAGGUGGCCAUGUCCAUCUCACUCGUGCCUCCAAUCGUGGGCAUAGUUAUUGCCCAUGCCAAUGUGGUCCCUCGACAUUGACCCAUGUGGCCCGUCAUGGGUCCGGACUCGGGUUUCAUCAACAUCAUCAUCAUCAUCUACCCAUCCGCCCCCACCCGACCAGGAGCAAUUUCCAUGCCCUCCCUCUCUCCGAGCUUGUUUUGUUGCCAUUUCCCAACUAAAACAUUAAUUGGAUGACAAGAACAGGCUUGGAACCUUUUUUGUGACGUGAGGCAUAAUGUCAGGAACAAUCUCAUCAUCUCUUUUUUUUUUCCUUUUAAUUAUGGAUGAGAAGUGACAAGAAGAUCUCCAACGUGAGGCAUAAGGUACAGGAGGCUUAAUUGGUUAAUCUUUCGAUAGCUUAUCAAUUUUCCUCAUUUCGUUACUCCAUCACCGGCUUUUGAUUCGAGAUACUACUGUAGGUCAAGUUUUAGGGAUUCAUGUUGAUCCAAGCUAAAUUUGAGGCCUUUUAAUCUGAGUUCCUAUAAGAAAAUAAAGACUCGAGCUGAGUUCAAAGAGUAUGAUCGUUUUGUUCUAUCCAACCUGUUUAAAGUAGAUUCUGAGUAUCUUUUACUUUAGAUCAUGCGGUUUCAAGUACUAACUAUUGAAUUGGAUUUGGAUGCUAAAACGAGCUAUUGAUGUUGAAAUUGGACUGUAAUUUAAAUAGAAUUUAUGGAUAUCUUAUUUAUCCUUAUUAUUAUACACAGUGGGUGAGACUUUGUAUAAUGUUAAAAUCGUUUCUUUAUAUCAUCAUCCCAUGUUGACAACAUAUAGGGAUCGAUAGUCUCGAAAAUAGAGAUAAGAUUAUAUACAUUGACUCUCUUUGAAUCUUACGUCGGCGAAAGAGAGCACUCUGCAUGUAUCUUCCCAUUAUCCUGGAUGUGCCUAAACUCUACAAUCACUACAAUAUAACCAGUAGAAAAAGAAAGAAAGAAAGAAAGAAAGAAAAAUAGCUUUCAUUUUGGGGGUCAAGUCCAAAAUAACUUUUAGAUCAGGAAUGAUUUCUUUACUAUUCUCCUCCUGCUCUUCUUGGCCUUUCACGAAUGAUGAAAGUUAUGGAUAAGGUGACUGGAUCUCUUCUGCAAAUCUUCAAGUACAGAACUCCUCAUGUUGGUAGAGAGAGAGAGAGAGUAGAAAAGCUCCUCAAAAGCCUGAUGGCAUGUGAGUUAGAUCUUAUUCAGGAACAAGAUGUUUUGGGCAUGGAAGCAUUUUGGUGAGAUCAAGUGGAAGGAGCAUGUGGUUUCCCCAACUCAUGAUUCAUGAGAGAGGAGGAGGACCACAGGUGAUUCGAGUCUGCAAACAUUGAGAUGGUGAGGGGUGACCCUCCACGGCUAGUAAGGGUUUAUGCUGAUCUCCCCACUCAUUGCAGAAAGCUAUGGAAAUUUCUGAUGAUUCAUCAUCCACCAUCACAAACACAGACUUCCCUACCAAACAACUUAUGAGCCAGCCAUUCAUUGAUGGUGCUGUGGAGUCAAUUCUGAGUUCUUUUAGAGUCAUUCGACUAUUGACGAAGCAUCAAACUGCUUCUUCUUCAACAUAAAAGGGUUUUGUACCCAUGGGAGAUGCAUUGGAACUUUGGUGUUUGAGUUGGUCCAAUCACUGUUUUAGCCGUUUCUUAGGCCCUAUUGGAUUGAGAUUUUGUGCGAGUUGGAUUUUUAGAUUGCAUAGUCAAAUCACUAUUUUAUUCUAUCUCAUGUUCUUUUGAGGAUUUGCACUCAACUGCAUCUUAAUUGUAUAAGUCUAUAUAAUUUAAUUGGAUCAUCGAUAUUUUCUACUAUUUCUUUAGGAAAGGUCUCGUUUUGACUCAAGACUAUAACAACUCGUUUUGAUGUCAGAUUUGUCGAUCAUCGUUCCGAUCGAAUGGGCUCAUCUAUUGACACAAAUAUUUAUAUCUUGAUCAGCGUUGCAUCGAUCUUAUAGAACAAAGAAUUGCAUAUUGUAUCAAUCAAGUGUGCGUGACACAUCCACCAAAUAUGUCGAUCGUCAAUUUAUCUUCAUAUCUCCCUAUCUACGGAUAACAUUUUGAACGGAAAAGAAAAACCUAAAAAUUAAGCGACAUUAGAUAUCUAGGGAUAAAAUUAAGUAUACAAAUGUUAUAAGUAGGAAUCCAUCAAUCGGAGGAGGGACUCUGACAUUUAACAAUUUUGUUAAAUAAUAUAUAUUAUAUCAAACAAUAAAAUACAUUAGUAAUAAUAAUAUAAAAAUAUAUAUAAUACAAUUCAAGAAGAUGAUAUGGGCAAUGAUAAGAGAGAACAAAAGAGAAUCGAAAACUUUAAAGUUGAGAGUAUUUAAAUCUUUUAAAUAUUUAGCGAACAAGCCAAUUGAUCUGUUAGAUCCGAAUUUUAUAACUAUAUUUCCGAAUGAUUUUGAUGUCUCUAUUCCAAUAUUUCUGAAUGAUUAGUGUGGAAGUCAAUAGAUAAGAUGGUGAGAUGUUGCUUGCCAAGCCAGUCAGAUGCAAACAACAGCAAUACCAACAAAAGGAGCGGUAAUGUCCCAAGAAGCCAAGUUAAAAUGCAUGUUAGCCAAACGCAGUGGUCCUGAUGCUGAUGGUCUUUAAUAGCACCAAGACAAGUCCGGCAGCUGCCGUCGCCACUGCAACUGUGUCCCUUGUACUAGUUGCCCACCAAUCAGCAGACUGGCCUCUGCAUUUGAGUCCAUCUGAUAUCUCUUCACAUAUGUUCUGUCAUCGUCGAUGCUGAAAACUUCUUCUUCUUCUUCUUCUUCUUCUUCUUCUUCUUCUUCUGCAAGCAGCAAAUCACGCACGCAACGCUUUGAUGGUUCAUUGUUUCCGGACGUUGGCAGUCAGCUUCUUCGGAUG